AUACGGAGGAUCCGAGCGUUAUCCGGAUUUAUUGGGUUUAAAGGGAGCGUAGGUGGAUUGUUAAGUCAGUUGUGAAAGUUUGCGGCUCAACCGUAAAAUUGCAGUUGAAACUGGCAGUCUUGAGUACAGUAGAGGUGGGCGGAAUUCGUGGUGUAGCGGUGAAAUGCUUAGAUAUCACGAAGAACUCCGAUUGCGAAGGCAGCUCACUAGACUGUUACUGACACUGAUGCUCGAAAGUGUGGGUAUCAAACAGGAUUAGAUACCCUGGUAGUCCACACAGUAAACGAUGAAUACUCGCUGUUUGCGAUACACGGUAAGCGGCCAAGCGAAAGCGUUAAGUAUUCCACCUGGGGAGUACGCCGGCAACGGUGAAACUCAAAUGAAUUGACGGGG
rnacentral:rRNA from 1 species